rnacentral:rRNA from 1 species
UACAGAGGUCUCAAGCGUUGUCCGGAUUUAUUGGGCGUAAAGAGCUCGUAGGCGGCUUGUCGCGUCGACUGUGAAACCCGCGGCUAACUGUGGGACUGCAGUCGAUACGGGCUAGCUAGAGUUCGGUAGGGGAGACUGGAAUUCCUGGUGUAGCGGUGAAAUGCGCAGAUAUCAGGAGGAACACCGGUGGCGAAGGCGGGUCUCUGGGACGGUACUGACGCUGAGACGCGAAAGCGUGGGGAGCGAACAGG